rnacentral:lncRNA from 13 species
UUCCAAAGCAUUUCUUCCUUCAUAUAGUCAAUGUGUUUAUAUAAAAAGCUAUUUAAUAUUACAACAACUAGAUAAUUUAAAAACUUGCAAAAUAUUUGCAAUUUUGCAAUUAUAACAAAAAAAUAAAAUUUUAGGGUCUAAUAUAAAUCAGUAUUUUAAAAUAAUAUUUAUCACGUAAAAUAUAAAAAUUUAUCUACACAUAUUUAUUGAAAAACUUUAACCUCGUUGAUCAUGAUGGAUAUGGAGAUGAAUGCUGAAUUGGACGGUGAUGACGGAAGUGAAAGCAGUCAACCGUCUUUGGAGGGUAGUUCGGCAAGUAGCACGUUUUGUAACUUGGAGAAAGACUAUGCAAGGAUUCGAUUUUUACACCCUACUUUCUCUUAAAACCUAUCACAAUGAUUCUGAUACAUGAGAAAUGUACCAUUAAUUUCAAGAAUUAUUUUAUGUGUGAUAUAUUGAAGCAGAUGUCUCAAUUUUAUGGGUAUUUUAUAGGUUUUAAGAUUACGAAAUUAUUAUAUUUUAAGGAAAACUAAAAUGUAAACUUGUAUAUAGCAAUUAAUUUAUUGCAUGUCAUUUAUCAUCUCUGAAAUGUAUACAAUGUUGUA